AUUGAACGCUGGCGGCAGGCCUAACACAUGCAAGUCGAACGGCAGCACAGAAGAGCUUGCUCUUUGGGUGGCGAGUGGCGGACGGGUGAGUAAUGUCUGGGAAACUGCCCGACGGAGGGGGAUAACUACUGGAAACGGUAGCUAAUACCGCAUAACGUCGCGAGACCAAAGUGGGGGACCUUCGGGCCUCACACCAUCGGAUGUGCCCAGAUGGGAUUAGCUAGUAGGUGGGGUAAUGGCUCACCUAGGCGACGAUCCCUAGCUGGUCUGAGAGGAUGACCAGCCACACUGGAACUGGGACACGGUCAAGACUCCUACGGGAGGCAGCAGUGGGGAAUAUUGCACAAUGGGCGCAAGCCUGAUGCAGCCAUGCCGCGUGUAUGAAGAAGGCCUUCGGGUUGUAAAGUACUUUCAGCGGGGAGGAAGGCGGUGAGGUUAAUAACCUCGCCGAUUGACGUUACCCGCAGAAGAAGCACCGGCUAACUCCGUGCCAGCAGCCGCCGUAA
rnacentral:rRNA from 1 species